GAGAGUUUGAUCCUGGCUCAGAGCGAACGCUGGCGGCAGGCUUAACACAUGCAAGUCGAACGGGCACUUCGGUGCUAGUGGCAGACGGGUGAGUAACACGUGGGAACGUACCUUUCGGUUCGGAAUAAUUCAGGGAAACUUGGACUAAUACCGGAUACGCCCUUCGGGGGAAAGAUUUAUCGCCGAUAGAUCGGCCCGCGUCUGAUUAGCUAGUUGGUGAGGUAAUGGCUCACCAAGGCGACGAUCAGUAGCUGGUCUGAGAGGAUGAUCAGCCACAUUGGGACUGAGACACGGCCCAAACUCCUACGGGAGGCAGCAGUGGGGAAUAUUGGACAAUGGGCGCAAGCCUGAUCCAGCCAUGCCGCGUGAGUGAUGAAGGCCUUAGGGUUGUAAAGCUCUUUUGUCCGGGAAGAUAAUGACUGUACCGGAAGAAUAAGCCCCGGCUAACUUCGUGCCAGCAGCCGCGGUAAUACGAAGGGGGCUAGCGUUGCUCGGAAUCACUGGGCGUAAAGGGCGCGUAGGCGGACUUUUAAGUCGGAGGUGAAAGCCCAGGGCUCAACCCUGGAAUUGCCUUCGAUACUGGAAGUCUUGAGUUCGGAAGAGGUUGGUGGAACUGCGAGUGUAGAGGUGAAAUUCGUAGAUAUUCGCAAGAACACCAGUGGCGAAGGCGGCCAACUGGUCCGAUACUGACGCUGAGGCGCGAAAGCGUGGGGAGCANACAGGAUUAGAUACCCUGGUAGUCCACGCCGUAAACGAUGAAUGCCAGCCGUUGGGGGAGCAUGCUCUUCAGUGACGCAGCUAACGCUUUAAGCAUUCCCGCCCUGGGGAGUACGGGUNCGCAAGAUU
rnacentral:rRNA from 1 species